AGUUAAGAGCAUAAACCAGAUCACAGAUACCUGUUUGGAUAAAAUUACUCUGAUAGAAAGAACUGGUUGGUUUAUUCAGAGAAUCUUCUGUGGAAACACUGCUUUCAAAAAUAUUUGCAUUAGAUUUGAACUUUUUCAAAAGUUAUAUUUCUUCGACUGAUAAUAUUUCUAUAGAAAAAAAAUGGGCUUGAUUGUACUAACUUCGAUCUCUACUAUAAUGACUACCUUCACGACCACGACCUCUGGUUGGACGACUAUGUAGCUCAUAGCAGUAAGCUUUGAUGUGGCUGAACUUAUGACAAUGAUCACAAAUCUUGAUCCCACGAGGUCGAGACUAAAUCUCUUGAGUAGAAUUGAUAGGAGAAGAGCUUCCAAGAGUAGUUGGUUAUACUACAAGUGUAGAUAAUAUAGCUGUGUUCGUAGAAGAAGACAUA
rnacentral:lncRNA from 1 species